rnacentral:tRNA from 1 species
AGGUAUUUAGUUUAAAAAUAAAACAAUUAUUUUGAAAAUAAAAAAUAGAUUAAAUUUAAUAUCUU